rnacentral:sRNA from 1 species
UUCUAGCCCCGAUUGUAGCAAUUGUUUGAGCUCUUUUUUAUUUUUCUUUUUAAAAAAAUAAAAAAAGCGAGUGCGGAAAGCGGGAAAUAGC